rnacentral:misc_RNA from 1 species
GUUUCCUUCUAUGGAAAAGGCCAAGCCAUUUGAGCCUAACAUCAACAUCAUCUUUAGUAAGCUUAGAAGCAUCAAUUUCCUCCAUUGACAACUUAGAAAGCUCUUCAAUACCAUUCUCCAUGAAAAGCUUCAUUGGCUCUUUCUCUAUCUUCACUUUCUCUUGUGGAUUUAUCCCUUCUCUAAACUUCUCCUUCACCACCCAAUACCCA